GAUGAACGCUGGCGGCGUGCCUAAUACAUGCAAGUCGAGCGAACGGACGAGAAGCUUGCUUCUCUGAUGUUAGCGGCGGACGGGUGAGUAACACGUGGAUAACCUACCUAUAAGACUGGGAUAACUUCGGGAAACCGGAGCUAAUACCGGAUAAUAUUUUGAACCGCAUGGUUCCAAAGUGAAAGAAGGUCUUGCUGUCACUUAUAGAUGGAUCCGCGCUUCAUUAGCUAGUUGGGAAGGUAACGGCUUACCAAGGCAACGAUGCAUAGACGACCUGAGAGGGUGGUCGGCCACACUGGAACUGAGACACGGUCCAGACUCCUACGGGAGGCAGCAGUAGGGAAUCUUCCGCAAUGGGCGAAAGCCUGACGGAGCAACGCCGCGUGAGUGAUGAAGGUCUUCGGAUCGUAAAACUCUGUUAUUAGGGAAGAACAUAUGUGCAAGUAACUGUGCACAUCUUGACGGUACCUAAUCAGAAAGCCACGGCUAACUACGUG
rnacentral:rRNA from 1 species